UCCUCGAUAGUAUAGUGGUGAGUAUCUCCGCCUGUCACGCGGAAGACCGGGGUUCAAUUCCCCGUCGGGUGG
rnacentral:tRNA from 1 species